UACAGAGGGUGCAAGCGUUAAUCGGAAUUACUGGGCGUAAAGCGUGCGUAGACGGUUAUGUAAGUCGGGUGUGAAAGCCCCGGGCUCAACCUGGGAAUUGCAUUCGAGACUGCAUAGCUAGGGUGCGGAAGAGGGAAGCGGAAUUUCCGGUGUAGCGGUGAAGUGCGUAGAUAUCGGGAGGAACACCAGUGGCGAAAGCGGCUUCCUGGUCCAGCACCGACGUUCAGGCACGAAAGCGUGGGGAGCAAACAGG
rnacentral:rRNA from 1 species